GACGAACGCUGGCGGCGUGGAUUAGGCAUGCAAGUCGAACGGUAUCAUCCUUUCGGGGGUGAGAGAGUGGCGAACUGGUGAGUAACACGUAGGUUAUCUACCCUCAAGACGGGGACAACCCAGGGAAACUUGGGCUAAUACCGGAUGUGAGCAACUUUUAGUUGUUUGAAAGGUGGCGUAAGCUGUCGCUUGGGGAUGAGCCUGCGUCCUAUUAGUUAGUUGGUGAGGUAACGGCUCACCUAGGCAAUGAUAGGUAGGCGGCCUUAACGGGUGGUCGCCCACACUGGGAUUGAGAUACGGCCCAGACUCCUACGGGAGGCAGCAGUCGAGAAUAGUCUACAAUGGUCGGAAGACUGAUAGUGCGACGCCGCGUGAACGAUGAAUCCCUUCGGGGUGUAAAGUUCUUUUAUAUGUGAGCAGUGCUUCUUAUAUUAACAGUAUGGGAGAGAGAUAUUAGCAUAUGAAUAAGCAACGGCUAACUCCGUGCCCAGCAGCCGACGGU
rnacentral:rRNA from 1 species